rnacentral:lncRNA from 1 species
UUUUGGACUAGAUCUGGAUUCAUAGCCUCCUUUCUUCGCUUAACCGGUUACUACAUCACCAUCACUAACCGCUGCUAACUGCGCCACCAUUAUCCUACCGUCAAUCUUUUUACUCUGCUGUUUUAACGCCAAAACGGCGUCGUCUACAUACUUAAACGUAACGAAUCUGUAACCUUUACUUUACCUGUGGUUUUAUCGGUUAUUAGAGUCGCCUCUUCGAGUUCACCAAACUUUGAGAACAUAGAUUGGAGUUUAUCGGUGGUGGUUUCCCAGCCGAUGCUGCGGAUGAAGAGUUUACGGUGAGUCAGAUCGGAGUCGGCGGCGGAGCGAACGACGGAGAGAGCGGCAGUGUCGCGAAUGACGACAGUUUGUAGGAUGUUGAGGAGUUGGUCUUUUGUGAAGGAUUCGAGGAAUUUGCGUGCGUCUUGUGUGGUUAGGGUUUGUGACGAUGGUGGUGAGGUGACGUAAAGUUAGUUCCUCUAAUCUCUGUUUGAGCAAUAAGAUGAGGUUUAAAAUGAAUGAUUAUUAGCUCCAUUAAAUGUUGGCGGUGGGGAGUGGCAGGGGUUGGUGCCUGAUUUGGUGGUUGGUUGGAGAGGAUGGAGAGAAAGAGAGCUAGUUGAGAUAGAUAGGGGUAAAAUGACAUAAAUGCCCUCAUAUGAGGUGCACAUGAUCUGACUUAGCAUAAAAUUUUAACUUGGUUAGUCCAAAAGGACGAAGUGUGUAAUGAGUUUUGCAAAUAAAGGAUUGUGACUGUAACUAUUAAAGUUAAAGGUUAUCUAUUGCAAUCCGGUACAAACAUAAAGGACGAAAAGUGUAAUUUACCCAAAGUAUAGUUUACAAUUUUGCAUGAUCCAUAUUAUAGAUUUAUAUUUAUAAACUAUUUAUAUAGUCUUAAAAUGAAUGGUCGCUGGGGCUAAC